UCUACGUCUCGCGGGAAAUCACGCGGAGGCGGAGCGCUCGCCGCCGCCCCCAAAUCGCCUCGACCCGGCCGCGGGGUCGGCGGGCAGACGCCGUCGAUCGGUCCCCUCGCAGCUCUUGCGGUUCUUGAGAUGUUGAGUUCAACAGCUUCUACGCAUAUGGAGAUGCGCACUACUAUGGAGAAUUCCGUCUUGAUGCUGAUUGCUGAGGUCUUAUGAGACCAUAGGACUUCGAAGAUAUUUUAUACACAGUCAUGAGGGUCAAUCUGAAGUUGCUCAUGCCCCUGUUGACGCAAUACACCACACCAACUUGGGCCACGCUGGUUGCAGGAUUCUUCGUGCUGCUCUCUCUUUCCCUCUCUACAUACCUUAUAGUUGACCACCUCUCAGCAUACAAUAAUCCAGAGGAACAGAAGUUUGUUCUUGGUGUUAUUUUGAUGGUCCCGUGCUAUGCAAUUGAGUCGUAUGUUUCAUUGAUAAAUCCAAAUACCACCGUUUAUUGUGGCAUAUUGCGUGAUGGUUAUGAAGCAUUCGCAAUGUACUGCUUUGGAAGGUAUAUUACUGCAUGUUUAGGUGGGGAAGAUAAAACAAUAGCCUUUUUAAAGAGGGAAGGAGGCUCUGGUGCCGGGCAACCCCUCUUGGAUCAUACCUCUGAGAAGGGAAUCAUACAUCACCAUUUCCCUGUGAAUUUUAUAUUGAAACCCUGGAGAUUAGGGAUGCGGUUUUACCUGAUUAUCAAAUUUGGAAUCUUCCAAUAUGUGAUUAUAAAGACAGUCACGGCUAGCUUGUCUCUUUUUUUAGAAGCUUUUGGUGUAUAUUGUGAUGGAGAGUUCAAUUUGCGAUGUGGAUACCCUUACUUUGCUGCUGUCCUGAAUUUUAGUCAAUAUUGGGCCCUGUACUGUUUAGUAGAAUGGUAUACAGCUACCAAGGAUGAAUUGGCACAUAUAAAGCCUCUGGCUAAGUUUCUUUCGUUCAAAUCAAUAGUAUUCUUGACCUGGUGGCAAGGUGUGGUAAUUGCAAUAAUGUAUUCAUUGGGCCUACUUAGAAGUCCUUUAGCUCAGAGCUUGGAGUUGAAGUCGAGCAUUCAAGACUUCAUUAUUUGCAUAGAGAUGGGCAUCGCUUCCAUUGUUCACCUCUAUGUUUUUCCUGCGAAGCCCUACGAGCUACGAGCCAACCAGACACCAGGAAACAUUUCAGUACUUGGGGAUUAUGUAUCCUCUGACCCUGUAGAUCCUUUUGAAGUAAAGGAAAGUAGCAGACCCACCAAAUUGAAGCUUCCACAGUUGGAACCAGAUGAGAGAAGCUCAACAAACAUAAAACAAAGUGUUCGAGACUUCGUUGUUGGCAGUGGAGAAUAUGUGAUCAAGGAUUUUAAAUUCACUGUUAACCAAGCUGUAAGGCCAGUCGAGAAGCGCUUUGACAAAUUGAUGAAAAAGAACGACAAGAAAAGCCAGGAUGACAACUGGGUGAAUGCAGCGUCACCAGAUAGACCGGUUCGUGGAAUUGAUGAUCCUCUAUUAGGCGGUAGCGCAAGUGAUAGUGGGGUCACGAAGGGCAAAAAACAUCGCAGAGCUGUAAGCACGGUUGCUGUGGUGGAUAGUUGGGGAGGUGGUGAUUUGGCAUCUGAUGGCUACGAGAUAAGGGGUCGACGCUGGGCCGUAAAGAAUUAAUGUUUUAUCCAUCCUGGAUUGGUGCAGUUGAAUCCAUACGUGAAAAGGUGGCUUGAAGGAUUUGUUGGUAACCUUCUGCAUUGGUAGCCAAUUUUGUUGCUUAUAACAGUCCUGUUGUGAUGUGUAGAUAGCUGAACUCCUGGUACUGUGCUACAUUAUGUGCUUGUGCAUGGCCAGAUGACAUCAUUUUCCUGAAAUUCUUGCUCCACCUAGACUUAAUAAAAGGCUGGUCAAAUGGUCCACCGGUAGGCCUGAUUUGUAAAUGGGCUGUACUAGCCCAAGUAACUACUACUAGUUUUCUAUGCCGCGGUGCACCGACAGUGGAGUUACAAACUCGCUCAGAAAAAAAAAAGAAUGCAGUUACAAACGAAACACAUGCAGGCCGCGUUCGGCGGAUUGAGUUUUGUGGUAAGCUAUA